rfam:Schistosoma curassoni strain Dakar, Senegal genome assembly, scaffold: SCTD_scaffold0001843
GCACUGCUGAGGAGUCCCACAAUAGGACGAAACAGUCGUCCAGUGU